CAUCAACCCUGUGAACAUACCUAAACGUUGCUUCGGCGGGAAUAGACGGCCCCGUGAAACGGGCCGCCCCCGCCAGAGGACCCUUAACUCUGUUUCUAUAAUGUUUCUUCUGAGUAAAACAAGCAAAUAAAUUAAAACUUUCAACAACGGAUCUCUUGGCUCUGGCAUCGAUGAAGAACGCAGCGAAAUGCGAUAAGUAAUGUGAAUUGCAGAAUUCAGUGAAUCAUCGAAUCUUUGAACGCACAUUGCGCCCGCCAGUAUUCUGGCGGGCAUGCCUGUUCGAGCGUCAUUACAACCCUCAGGCCCCCGGGCCUGGCGUUGGGGAUCGGCGGAGCCCUUUGUGGGCACACGCCGUCCCCCAAAUACAGUGGCGGUCCCGCCGCAGCUUCCAUCGCGUAGUAGCUAACACCUCGCGACUGGAGAGCGGCGCGGCCACGCCGUAAAACACCCAACUCUUCUGAAGUUGACCUCGAAUCAGGUAGGAAUACCCGCUGAACUUAA
rnacentral:rRNA from 1 species